UGGGGAAUAUUGGGCAAUGGGCGCAAGCCUGACCCAGCAACGCCGCGUGAAGGAAGAAGGCUUUCGGGUUGUAAACUUCUUUUUGUCAGGGAAGAUGAAGAGACGGUACCUGACGAAUAAGCCACGGCUAACUACGUGCCAGCAGCCGCGGUAAUACGUAGGUGGCAAGCGUUGUCCGGAUUUACUGGGUGUAAAGGGCGUGUAGGCGGGAGAGCAAGUCAGGCGUGAAAACUAUGGGCUUAACCCAUAGCCUGCGUUUGAAACUGUUUUUCUUGAGUACUGGAGAGGUUGACGGAAUUCCUUGUGUAGCGGUGAAAUGCGUAGAUAUAAGGAGGAACACCAGUGGCGAAGGCGGUCAACUGGACAGCAACUGACGCUGAGGCGCGAAAGCGUGGGGAGCAAACAGGAUUAGAUACC
rnacentral:rRNA from 1 species